AGAGGAAGCUGAGCAGCGUGAGGAAGAGGAGCCAGCAACCCAUGGAGGCCGCCAUGUUGGACGCGGGCCUCCGGUCACGUGGGCUCCACCCACGUUACUCUCGGGCUCUGGAGGCUGCUGUCAGCGCGGACCAAAUCGGCUGCCAAGAGUCAUCAGCAAACAAGCCAAGGCCUGCCGCCAGCUUCCGUGCCUCUGAAGUCCUCUUUCCCUAUGUCAACAAGGAGUUGGCAAGUGGCAGGCAGUCUCCGGUGAGUUCUGAUCUUUUGUCUUCUUCCUGCUUUGAUGUUUGUUACUCCUUUGCCAAGUUCUAAGCACAUAAGUGCCACAGAAAUUCUCCAUUUGAACUGAGCAGCCUGUUUCAUUGAUUCAAUAAGGAGGCCAUUAGACGGAUGGGGUUCUAAUGCCGUGACUGUCUACAAAGUAAGUAAACCAAAAUGUAAACCUCAAGGUUAUGAAAUCGAAGUGCUGUCAUAAACAACCAACCAUAAACUGUUAGCUAAGCUUUAAGUAUAGCCAGUCAAUUUCCUUGUGUUGCUUCCCCACUUUCUCCAUAGGAGUUUUCCAGUUUGGUGCUGCCUGAUUUGAAUUGAUUUUCACUUAAGUAAACUCUUACAUGUUUAAA